GGGAGGAAAUGGGUUCAGUCAGCCAGGAAGACACACCUCCCACUUUUGGUGGCAGCAGUGGGAUCCAAAGGAGACAUCUGAUGGCUUAGGGGAUGAGAAACACAGGCAUUGGUACCUGCAAAACUUUUGAGUUCUCCAUCUUUGUCACUGAUUCUGAGAGCCGUGGAGUCAGCUCCAGAGUUUCAGCCAGCAGCAGAAGCAGAGCUGUGGGCAGUGGUGGAGGUAGAGCUGGCUCCAGCUCCGUUGACACCACACCCUCUAGCACUGGAGCCAGUGUCCCCUCUACCAGCAGUGUUGGAGGUGGAGCAAGGGCCAACAUGGGCUCCAGCAGGAGUGGGAGCUGCUGAGUUGGAGUCACCUGGACCAUCAUUUCUAGUGGGAAGUCCAUCUCCACCUGUGGCUAAGAUGUGUGAGAAGAAGCCCAACCUACGGCCUUCCCUCCUAAGCUGGUGGUGGAGCAGUUGAUCGUGAUGGAUGCAAGCGUAGAGGUGGACACUAACAGG